rnacentral:rRNA from 1 species
AGCGAACGCUGGCGGAAUGCUUAACACAUGCAAGUCGCACGGAUGGCUUCGGCCAUGAGUGGCGGACGGGUGAGUAACGCGUAGGAACGUGUCCUGUGGUGGGGGAUAACGCUGGGAAACUGGCGCUAAUACCGCAUAUGGCCUGAGGGUCAAAGCCGCGAGGUGCCAUGGGAGCGGCCUGCGUCCGAUUAGCUUGUUGGUUGGGUAAUGGCUGACCAAGGCGAUGAUCGGUAGCUGGUCUGAGAGGAUGAUCAGCCACACUGGGACUGAGACACGGCCCAGACUCCUACGGGUGGCAG